rnacentral:rRNA from 1 species
UACGGAGGGUGCGAGCGUUGUUCGGAAUCACUGGGCGUAAAGCGCGUGUAGGCGGCCCAUUAAGUCUGAUGUGAAAGCCCGGGGCUCACCCCCGGAAGUGCAUUGGAAACUGAUGGACUCGAGUCCCGGAGAGGAGAGUGGAAUUCCUGGUGUAGCGGUGAAAUGCGUAGAUAUCAGGAGGAACACCGGUGGCGAAGGCGGGUCUCUGGGCAUCUCCUGACGCUGAGGCGCGAAAGCGUGGGGAGCAAACGGG